rnacentral:rRNA from 1 species
UUCGGAGGCCAUAGCGAACGGGUCCCACCUCUUCCCAUUCCGAACAGAGAAGUUAAGCCGUUCCACGCCGAUGGUACUGCCUGGGUAACCAGGUGGGAGAGUAGGUCGCCUCCGGAG